rnacentral:rRNA from 1 species
CGGGUGAGUAACACGUAUCCAACCUGCCGAUGACUCGGGGAUAGCCUUUCGAAAGAAAGAUUAAUACCCGAUGGCAUAGUUCUUCCGCAUGGUAGAACUAUUAAAGAAUUUCGGUCAUCGAUGGGGAUGCGUUCCAUUAGGUUGUUGGCGGGGUAACGGCCCACCAAGCCUUCGAUGGAUAGGGGUUCUGAGAGGAAGGUCCCCCACAUUGGAACUGAGACACGGUCCAAACUCCUACGGGAGGCAGCAGUGAGGAAUAUUGGUCAAUGGACGAGAGUCUGAACCAGCCAAGUAGCGUGAAGGAUGACUGCCCUAUGGGUUGUAAACUUCUUUUAUACGGGAAUAAAGUGAGGCACGUGUGCCUUUUUGUAUGUACCGUAUGAAUAAGGAUCGGCUAACUCCGUGCCAGCAGCCGCGGUAAUACGGAGGAUCCGAGCGUUAUCCGGAUUUAUUGGGUUUAAAGGGAGCGUAGGCGGACGCUUAAGUCAGUUGUGAAAGUUUGCGGCUCAACCGUAAAAUUGCAGUUGAUACUGGGUGUCUUGAGUACAGUAGAGGCAGGCGGAAUUCGUGGUGUAGCGGUGAAAUGCUUAGAUAUCACGAAGAACUCCGAUUGCGAAGGCAGCUUGCUGGACUGUAACUGACGCUGAUGCUCGAAA